GAACCCUUCGGGGGGACGAGGGGAAUGAGCGGCGGACGGAUGAGUAACACGUAAAGAACCUGCCCAUAGGUCUGGGAUAACCACAAGAAAUCGGGGCUAAUACCGGAUGUGUCAUCGGACCGCAUGGUCCGCUGAUGAAAGGCGCUCCGGCGUCGCCCAUGGAUGGCUUUGCGGUGCAUUAGCUAGUUGGUGGGGUAACGGCCCACCAAGGCGACGAUGCAUAGCCGACCUGAGAGGGUGAUCGGCCACACUGGGACUGAGACACGGCCCAGACUCCUACGGGAGGCAGCAGUAGGGAAUCUUCCACAAUGGACGAAAGUCUGAUGGAGCAACGCCGCGUGAACGAUGAAGGCUUUCGGGUCGUAAAGUUCUGUUGUAAGGGAAGAACAAGUGCCGCAGGCAAUGGCGGCACCUUGACGGUACCUUGCGAGAAAGCCACGGCUAACUACGUGCCAGCAGCCGCGGUAAUACGUAGGUGGCAAGCGUUGUCCGGAAUUAUUGGGCGUAAAGCGCGCGCAAGCGGCCUCUUAAGUCUGAUGUGAAAGCCCUCGGCUCAACCGGGGAGGGCCAUUGGAAAACUGGGGAGGCUUGAGUAUAGGAGAGAAGAGUGGAAUUUCCA
rnacentral:rRNA from 1 species